rnacentral:lncRNA from 1 species
GCCAUUGCCCUGACAGCAUGUGGUACUGUGGAUUCCAUGAGUGUGUACAGUGGGAAAGCAACAACACUCGGUUCCACCACCCCGUGCACUGGUCAGCUGGACAAACUCAGACAGGUAUCUACCCUGGAUAGACUUUACAGAGUUUUAGAAGACGAAAAUGAACAUUUUUGGAGCCUAAGUUUUGGCUCAUUUGUUGGAUCAGUGCAUGUAAGAAUUUGGUGAGAUGCAAAUGAACAAAUAGUUCUUGUUCCUGUGACCAACAGGCUGUAUGCUACAGUUCUAUUCUGACUGUUCAGAUUUUUAAGGAUGAUUGGAUUAGGCUGCCCUGCUGUCUGGGUCUGUCUCCUAAACUUUUCAGAUCAUCAUGUAAUUCCAAUGACUCUUUUAAAGGGUACUGAUGAUAUGAACACUGUCAGAUUGAUUCCAGCUAAACCUAGUAGUCCACCUUGAGAAUUUUCACGUAACACCCUGGAAAAAAACGUGAGCCCAAGUCUUCUCUACCAAAGAAAAAAAAAAGCUUCAAAUUUU